rnacentral:lncRNA from 1 species
AUGCUGUCAUCUGUUGGGGGCGGUGGGGAGGCAGGAGGUGUCCCCUCGUGUCCCCCCCCCCAUGGAGGUGUCUGCGGGGCUCCUGAUGGGAAGGGAGGUGGUUGGGGGUCCCCACGUCCUAACGAGGACCCGAGAGGUGGCACCGUCCCCUGCCGGGCUGCAGCUGGGACCCCAGUGCCGCAGGGUGACCGAGGGGACCCCGCAGGCUGCGCCCUGCAGCGAUCUCGGUUCCUCUUCCCCCAGGGAGGCUGCGGCAGGGCAGUGAGAGCUGCCAGGGGUGUGGGGCCAUAUGGGAAGGACAGGAGUGCGCAGGGCAGGGGGUGGGAUACUGCCCUGGGGGGCCACAAGGUGCCCGAGGGGCUGCAGCACGCGGUGUCACCGCUCAGCCCCGCCAGCGUCCCAUUUUUGACCCCGUUUUGCCGUCCCCAAAGCCUGGGACCCUGCCAGCCGCAAGGUUCCCCUCGGAGGCCACGGCACCGUCCUCUUCCUCCUCCUCCUCCUCCUCCCCCACACCACUCUCCCUGGCCGCUUCCUCCUCCUGCUGUGAAGGUGACAGCAGGGCCCGCGGGGUGCCCCCUGCUCCCCGUCCCUGCGGGGUCCCCCCCUUUGGCCAGGCGCUGGUCCCGAUGCCACCUCGGUUUGUCCCCAGGGCAGCGGGUCUGGGGUAUUCGGAGAGCCUCCAGAGCUCUCCGUGUGUCUGCACCCCCUCAAACCCGACCCCUCCGUCCCCUUAGGAAGGGGCUGGGGCGAUCCCAUGGGGUGACAGGCAGGGUGACACAUGGGGACACCAGACCCCGGCUCAGGGCUGGGGCAGCGCUCCGGGUCCCUCCCUUCCUGAGCUCAUUCCUUGGCCACCACCCGCUUUGGAAACCUCCCCGUGCCACCAGCACCGGGAAACCGGGCUCUGGGGUCGGGGGGGGACAGGGGGAGCAGAUGGCCAGGAGGACGGUGACAAUUCCCAGACCCGUGGCAGUGGUGGGGACGAGUUGGCCGGGUGUCCGUGCGGCACGGAGGGGGCACGGCGGGGCGCGAGCUGGCACCGUGGUGGCACCAGCGCAGGUGGAGCCAGUCUGGGGGGGGGGCUCGCUGCCCAUCUGCUCCCGGGGCCGGCCGCCAGCACGCGGCCCCUCCCCAAAAAUGACCCCAGGGAGCCGUUUUUGGGGGCCAGCCUUGGAGGGCGGGUGGGAUUGCUGUGUGGUGUUUGGGGCUAAACCUCAAGGUGCGGGGGUAUUUGGGGUCUGUGCCUGCCUGGGAGCUGCCCCGUGCCCUCCCUGA